rnacentral:rRNA from 1 species
AACGAACGCUGGCGGCAUGCCUAACACAUGCAAGUCGAACGAGACCUUCGGGUCUAGUGGCGCCCGGGUGCGUCACGCGUGGGAACCUGCCCUUAGGUUCGGCAUAACUCCCCGACAGGGGUGCUAAUACCGGAUAAUGUCUUCGGACCAAAGAUUUAUCGCCUUUGGAUGGGCCCGCGUUGGAUUAGCUAGUUGGUAGGGUAAAAGCCUACCAAGGCGACGAUCCAUAGCUGGUCUGAGAGGAUGAUCAGCCACACUGGGACUGAGACACGGCCCAGACUCCUACGGGAAGCAGCAGUGGGGAAUAUUGGACAAUGGGCGAAAGCCUGAUCCAGCAAUGCCGCGUGAGUGAUGAAGGCCUUAGGGUUGUAAAGCUCUUUUACCCGGGAUGAUAAUGACAGUACCGGGAGAAUAAGCUCCGGCUAACUCCGUG